rnacentral:rRNA from 1 species
GACGAACGCUGGCGGCGUGCUUAACACAUGCAAGUCGAACGGUGAAGCGCCUUCCUUUUUGGUGGGUGUUGAUGAGUGGCGAACUGGUUAGUAACACGUGAGUAACCUGCCCCCUUCUUCUGGAUAACCGCAUGACAGUGUGGCUAAUACGUGAUAUUCUGGGUCUGUCGCAUGAUGGGUCUGGGACAGAUUUUGUUUCGGUUGGGGAUGGGGUCGCGCCCUAUCAGCUUGUUGGUGGGGUGAUGGCCUACCAAGGCGGUGACGGGUAGCCGGCCUGAGAGGGUGGACGACAAUACUGGGACUGAGACACCGACAAGACUACGACGGGAGGCAGCAGUGGAGAAUAUGGAACGAUGGGAGGAAGGCUGAUGCAGCGACGCGGCGUGAGGGAUGGAGGCCGGAGGGUUGUGAACUUCUUUCGGCAGUGAAGCAGGCCGGCCUUGUCUGUGGGUGGGUUGACGGUAGCUGGAUAAGAAGCGCCGGCUAACUACGUG